UGCUGAGGCUCAUCCCAGGCGUCAGAACUCGCCCUCAGACAACAACUGAGGGAAUAUCUCAGUGACAAGAAGUAUUCACGAAGCACAAGGAUCUUCGUGCUGGGCCCAGCUUCACCAUGAAGACAGAUACAGAUGGUCCAGGGAGUGAGGCAGGGUGGUGUGGUGGCUGCAGCAUGGCGCUGGGGCCAUGCAGAUCCGAGUUCCAGUCCCUGCCAACUAGCUGAGUGAAUGUGGACAAAUGUCUGUACCCAGUUCCUCAUUCAUAAAAUAGAAAUGGCAAUACCUUCCUUGUAGAGAUGUUGAGAGGCGAUGCAAGAAUAGCGUUAGAAGAGUACCCAGCACGUGAUGCUGCUAUUCCAAGUCUUCUGUCGCAAAUUAUGUCUUCCUCGGGAAAGAAGCAUACUACGGUCCAUCUAAGCACAAAGUAAAUCAAGACACACGUCCACCUCGCAGCAAAAGCAUUCGGACCAUCUAACUGGGUUCCACUGAAAUGAGUCUGAGCGACACCAUGCUGAGGUAAUUGUACAGCCCCCAUGAAGAAGCUACAUGAAAGGUAACCAAGACACACAAAAAACUGCAUUUAACUCCAUUUUCUAAAAUAAUAGUAAUAAUAAUAUUAGUGCUAUAAUGCACACACUGUAUCCUUUUGCAAACAAAACCACACCAAAUGUCAGAAACUGGCCUAAGAGGACACUGUUUUCCAGAGGUGAAUGCACUGCCUAGUCCUGCCAGCACUCACCUUCCCUCUCCCCCUUUUUCCAUUCCCACAGCUGCACGCUGUCUGAGGUAAUCGGGCAGAGAAGCGCAUCUGAAGGUGGAGACCAUUAAGAAAUCACGCUUCUCUUUAUUUAUUACAGUUUCCAUGGCAAAAGCAAAAUAAAAGACAACUGGGUUUCAAAGCAACAACAAUAAAGGAAGCAACCUCUCUCUCGGGCAGACAAACCUUAGAGUGAAAGUAAAACAGCGCGCUGUGUGAGAUGAUGCCGAGGGCCCUUCCCCAAACCGAGGGGCCCGGCUCUUGACGGGGCUGGCUGUGUGCAGACGCCAACUCCAGAGACCCAAAACCCACUCCUCGAAGGAGCUGACUUGCAUAUUUUCUUUGGGGAUCCUGUUGCUAAGUUUCCCUUUCAACUGACUUCAAGAUAUCAGACAGUGAAAUCUCUGGGGCUUUCCAGGCCACCUAAUUCAAAGUAAGCAGGAACCCGAGUAGGGCCAGAAUGCUGGCUGACCUCUUUUCGACAAACAGGGACCUAGAAUUUGGGCUACUCAGCUAUUCAGCCAGUUCGGUUCCUCUGGGCAGAGUCAGCAGGUUGAAUGACCUAGACGGUUGGGUUUUCUAAUGCUUGAGGCGGACGACAGCCAAGAUAGACCCCUCUCCGUCUAAGAAGUCAGGGCCACCAGAAUUAUUCGUAACACAUUAGUAUACACUCCCUCCCUGCACCUUGUCCUUAUUCAAUUGCCAUGAAUCCAACUGCCUUGGUCCACGUCACCUGUAGCAAGUUGCUUUCCCUUUCAAUAAAGGCUCCAAGUAUCAAAAUCAUUAGUUUCUCCAGCCAUCCAACCCAUGUAUUUUCCUUGAUUAGCUUCCAAGAGCACCCUCUGCCCCAGAAGAGAGUAGAAAAUCAGGCUUAGAGAGAAUGGGGAGAGCAGUAGCUUCUAAUCAUUCACUUUCUUCUUUGUUUUUUUAAUUCUCUAUAUUUAGAUCUUUAAUGACGUACAACAUAAUACAAAACAAGGAGACUGACUUCUGUGACUCGGUGUUAUCCGUUGUGUCAUCCGAGAGCCGGGGACUGGAGGGAGAGGCUCUUCUCCAGGGAGAACUGAGGUGGAGUUAGUGCCCGGUGACUAAAUCAUGUCUUGUUUCUCCCCGACAUUUUUUUUUUCCUGUUUGUUAAGGGAGGAAAUUCCCUUUGUGGAUUUACUGAGAGCAAAAAUGGUAUCUCGGCUUUGGACUUGCCCCUACUUUCACCCAUGCUGGUACUUUUAAAUUUAGUUUUGAUAGUGGGUAGGUUCCCCUCUGCCUAAAAACCCAGGGGAAAAAACCCAGUUCUUUAAUUUACUCAUAUCCUGCUGGGCGUUCUCAGGCUAAUCAUUGCCAUACCAGCUUCAUACUCAAAUGCAACAUCUCAGUUUGAAGGAAACGGGGAGACAGGGCUGCUGGAGUUUAUUCCGCGUGCUUCCUCCCGACAUCAGGGCUCCCUGGGCUAUUUCAAAUUAUCCAAAACAUCAGCAGGCUCAGCACUUGGAGAAAACACGACAGGUACUUCCCAACCUGCCAGGGCUCAGGGAGGCAUAAAGAACACAUUGAGUAAAUUAACUGACAAAAUCUGUUAACUGCCAGCUCCUGAGAACCCGGAAGAUAAACUGUAGAGUUACCAUCAACCUGCAGGUAGAGGAAGAGACUAUCUUGAUGCAACAAAAAUAAAGGAAUGCUGUGCUCUGCAGAUUUGGAGAGGAGCUCUUCUUCUGUCCUAAGGGUGCCUCACCGGCCCUGGCUCUGGGAAACCACUCGACCAGCAAGGUUGACAGUUGCCCACACACGCAAAAAAGCAUAGCCCUUUGUAUCACUUGCGACUUGGGCCUGAGGACUAGUUUUAUUCUAAGAGUGAAUUUCAAUUUUUUUUCCUGUCGUGGCAAUUCACACUGUGCCUCAUCCUGAUCUUUAUCCUGAGGUUUAAUCACACUGAAGUGAACAUUAAGGGUGGUUGAGAAGGAGCCACAAACGGGGGAAGGAAGAAGAGGCAGUAAAGAGAGACCAUAAUGCCUGCUUUCUGGCUGAUAAGAAGAGUCACGAUCUUGGAGGGGGG